rnacentral:rRNA from 1 species
UAAGUUCUUUCCUGCCGAAGCGGCAGGCGGCCUUCCUUUUAUAAAAGCUAUCUCGGCUCCUUAUGUAAAUAUGAAAUUUAUGCCUACAGGAGGCAUAAAUGCUUCGAAUCUUACUUCCUAUCUGGACUUCCCUAAGAUAAUAGCAUGUGGUGGAAGCUGGAUGGUUAAGGACGAACUGGUUAAAGAGGGCGCAUUUGACAAGAUAACCGAGUUAACCAGAGAAGCGGUAAACAAGAUGCUUGGUUUCGAACUUCGUCAUAUCGGUAUUAAUGCUGAAAAUGAGGAAGAGGCUGACAAAAUUGCUGGUUCCUUUGAGAAAUUAUUCGGCUUUGUAAAGAAAGCGGGUAUCAGCUCCAUAUUUGCAGGUACAGGCAUAGAAGUAAUGAAACAGCCUUAUCUGGGUAAAAACGGCCAUAUUGCAAUACAGACCAAUUAUAUUGAAAGGGCUAUAUUCCAUCUUAGCCAGCAGGGCUUUACCUUUAAUGAAGAAAGCAAGAAAUAUGAUAAAAACGGCAAAUUAACAGCUAUAUAUUUGAAUGAAGAGUUCGGUGGAUUUGCCGUUCAUUUGGUACAGAAGUAAAAAUAAAUUUAAUAUUAAUUCAUUUAAGAAUUUCUUACAUGAUAUAAGUACACCUGCUGCGGUUGUGCGAUAACAGACUAUAUUAUUAUCCGGUAUUGCACAAUUUACAGCAGGUGUUUUUAUUUUGGAAUUAUUUAUUAUCGUUAUAUUUUAUAUAAUUGGACAUUAGAAGUAUAAAUAGACGUAGAACUAUAAAUCCAUUUGUUAGGAGAUUUAAAUAUUUUAAAUAAGUGUCAUCUUUUAUUUUUACUGAAAAAUAAAUGCCCUCAUCAUCACAGUGAAGCAAACUGAUAAUUCUUUUAUUUUUUGAACUAUUUUCAUCAUCUGUAUCUUCAAUUGAAAUAAGAGAAAUCUCUUUAGUUUCAUUACUAAAGAAAAAUAUAUCGCUUAAAUUGGUGAAAAAACAGCCUUUAUUUGUUGGGAAAAACUGUUGUCCCCAGUAAUUAAUGGUAUUUAUAAUAUCACCGGUUUGCAAAUCCAAAACAUCGUAAUAAUAGUAAACAGCAAUAAAACAAGCAAUUAAAAUUGCAUAGUUUCUAUUUCAGAUUUUAGAUAAUACGUAAAAUAUAAAAAUAUUUAAUUAAUAGUUGACAUAAUGAUUAAGAGGUGGUAUUAUAAAUCUCCGCCGAUGACAAGGGGCAACCACUUAUAAGAAUUACUUAUAAAAAAGAAAAAAAGAUUUAAAAGGUGGUUGACAUAACAAGGCGGUUGUGAUAGAAUAACUUCUUGUCGGCGGCAAUAAAUAACCGACAAAAAACCAAAAAAACAAUUUUGGAACCUUGAUAACUGAACAGUGAAACAACCCCGAAAAUUCUAAAAGCCGAGGUCUAGUGCAAGACCGAAGGAUUAGAUACCCUGGUAGUCCACGCCGUAAACGAUGAAUACUAGGUGUCGGGGGUCAAAAGACCUUCGGUGCCGUCGCAAACGCAUUAAGUAUUCCACCUGGGGAGUACGUUCGCAAGAAUGAAACUCAAAGGAAUUGACGGGGACCCGCACAAGCGGUGGAGCAUGUGGUUUAAUUCGAAGCAACGCGAAGAACCUUACCAGGCCUUGACAUCCCAUUGACCGGUCCUUAACCGGACCUUUCCUUCGGGACAAUGGAGACAGGUGGUGCAUGGUUGUCGUCAGCUCGUGUCGUGAGAUGUUGGGUUAAGUCCCGCAACGAGCGCAACCCUUAUCCUUAGUAGCCAGCACUUCGGGUGGGGACUCUAGGGAGACUGCCAGGGACAACCUGGAGGAAGGCGGGGAUGACGUCAAAUCAUCAUGCCCCUUAUGGACUGGGCUACACACGUGCUACAAUGGCGGUGACAAAGGGAAGCGACCCUGCGAAGGUGAGCGAAUCCCAAAAAAGCCGUCCCAGUUCGGAUUGUAGUCUGCAACUCGACUACAUGAAGCCGGAAUCGCUAGUAAUCGCGAAUCAGCAUGUCGCGGUGAAUACGUUCCCGGGUCUUGUACACACCGCCCGUCACACCAUGGGAGUCGGAAAUGCCCGAAGUCAGUGACCCAACCCGAAAGGGAGGGAGCUGCCGAAGGUGGAGCCGAUGACUGGGGUGAAGUCGUAACAAGGUAGCCGUAUCGGAAGGUGCGGCUGGAUCACCU